UACGUAGGGUGCGAGCGUUAAUCGGAAUUAUUGGGCGUAAAGAGCUCGUAGGCGGCUCAGCAAGUCGGCUGUGAAAUCCCGAGGCUCAACCUCGGAACUGCAGUCGAUACUGCUGUGGCUCGAGUCUGGUAGAGGAGAGUGGAAUUCCCGGUGUAGCGGUGAAAUGCGCAGAUAUCGGGAGGAACACCAGUAGCGAAGGCGGCUCUCUGGGCCAGCACUGACGCUGAGGCUCGAAAGCGUGGGGAGCAAA
rnacentral:rRNA from 1 species